rnacentral:lncRNA from 1 species
AGACCAGGAGAGCAGAGGAAGGCCAUCAGGGGAGGAAGAAGAAGAAGGAGAGGUCAGGCCUUGGGGAAUGGGAUGGACCAAAUUAUCUUGUGUUCAUGCACAAGAAUGCAACAACCAGUAGUUCUCUAUUAUGUAUAAUUACAAUGCACCAAUGAAAAAGUUCAUGAUCCUAGUUGUGUACAGUGGCAGUGCCUGUAAUCCAAGCAGCUCAGGAGGCUGAGGCAGGAGGAUCACGAGUUCAAAGCCAGCCUCAGCAACUUAGCAAGGCCCUAAGCAACUCAGUGAGACCCUGUCUCUAAAUAAAAUACAAAAUAAAGCUGGGGAUGUGGCUCAGUGGAUUAGCACCCCUGGGUUCAAUCCCUGGUACCACCCCACCCCCAAACAAGCAAAUAAACAACAACAACUAAACAGUAGCUCUCUGGAAUAAUGUUGUUUGCUACUAGAUUAUUCUAAUGGGAAAAAAUUCCUUGAAUUGAUUCCUUUGAGUAAAUUCUUUCGAAGCAUAAAGCAUGGGUAGGAGGUUAUGCUCCAAAGGAAGCAGACUUCUGGAUGAAUAUUAGUGUGCAG